GAUGAACGCUGGCGGCGUGCCUAAUACAUGCAAGUCGAGCGAACGGACGAGAAGCUUGCUUCUCUGAUGUUAGCGGCGGACGGGUGAGUAACACGUGGAUAACCUACCUAUAAGACUGGGAUAACUUCGGGAAACCGGAGCUAAUACCGGAUAAUAUUUUGAACCGCAUGGUUCAAAAGUGAAAGACGGUCUUGCUGUCACUUAUAGAUGGAUCCGCGCUGCAUUAGCUAGUUGGUAAGGUAACGGCUUACCAAGGCAACGAUGCAUAGCCGACCUGAGAGGGUGAUCGGCCACACUGGAACUGAGACACGGUCCAGACUCCUACGGGAGGCAGCAGUAGGGAAUCUUCCGCAAUGGGCGAAAGCCUGACGGAGCAACGCCGCGUGAGUGAUGAAGGUCUUCGGAUCGUAAAACUCUGUUAUUGGGGAAGAACAUAUGUGUAAGUAACUGUGCACAUCUUGACGGUACCUAAUCAGAAAGCCACGGCUAACUACGU
rnacentral:rRNA from 1 species